rnacentral:lncRNA from 1 species
AUAUUAUAAUAUGAUGUUGUUAUAUAAAUAAAAAUAUUAGAUUAGAGUAUUAUUAUUAAAUAAUAAUAUUCGAGAUUAAAUAAAAUAUUAUUAAAUGAUUAAUAAUAUUAGUAAGUGAAUAAAAUAUUAUUAAAUGAUUAAUAAUAUUAGUAAAGGGAUAAAAUAUUAUUAAAUGAUUAAUAAUAUUAGUAAGUGAAUAAAAUAUUAGUAAAUGAUUUAAAGUAUUAUUAGUGAACCAAUAAUACUAGAAGGUGAAUUAAUAUUAUCUAAGUUAAUAAU